UUUAAGAAUCCACUCACCAAUGUUAUCUUUCUCUUUGCAGGAAAUAGAAUAGCAGCAAAUCUCUCUGUCCUGAAUCGCUGCCAGAUUCCUAACGAGUCAAGAAGAAGAAAAAUGAAAUAAACUCAACAUUAACCCUGAUGUGAUGUCGACCCAGAGGGAACACGAGCGUUCACAACAACACAUCCCAUAAUAAGACGUAUCCCAAAAUGUGGCGUUUUCCAGCGGGGAAGGGAAGUAGGACGGAGGCAGCCAGGCUGUCAUAUGAUCAGUCAGCCUCACGGUGCCCGACAGUGACCCCAACAGGCACAGACUGGUACA